rnacentral:tRNA from 1 species
UGGGUUGUGGCUCAGUGGUAGAGCACUUGCCUAGCAUGUGGGAGGCCCUGGGUUCAAUCCUCAGCACCACAU